rnacentral:rRNA from 1 species
AGAGAGUGCAAGCGUUAAUCGGAAUUACUGGGCGUAAAGCGCGCGUAGGCGGGUAUUUAAGUCGGAUGUGAAAGCCCUAAGCUUAACUUAGGAAUUGCAUUCGAAACUGGAUACCUAGAGUAUGGUAGAGGGAAGUGGAAUUUCCGGUGUAGCGGUGAAAUGCGUAGAUAUCGGAAGGAACAUCAGUGGCGAAGGCGGCUUCCUGGACUAAUACUGACGCUGAGGUGCGAAAGCGUGGGGAGCAAACAGGGAUUAGAGACCCUGGUAGUCCACGCCGUCAACGAUGAGAACUAGACGUUGGGAGGGUUCACCUCUUAGUGUCGAAGCUAACGCGAUAAGUUCUCCGCCUGGGGAGUACGGCCGCAAGGUUA